GGUCAAGCUAUUAAGGGCGCACGGGGGAUGCCUUGGCACCAGAAGCCGAUGAAGGGCGUGGCUAGACUGCGAAAAGCCACGGUUAGCUGUCCAGCGAGCUUAGCCGUGGAUUCCCGAAUUGGGUAACCAGCCUGCGCGAGCAGGAGCCCGGAUUAAUCCGGGGGGUAAGCGGGGGAACUGAAACAUCUAAGUACCCAGAGGAAAAGAAAUCAACCGAGAUUCCCUUAGUAGCGGCGAGCGAAAUGGGAUCAGCCUAAACCGUUGGGGCCUAACGGACUGAAGUCCUAUGCCUUAGCGGCGUUGUAAGACACAACAUGGAAGUGCUUCAGAACUUCCGGAGAGUUACAAAUUGUUCAUUUAGCCGAAUGCUCUGGAAAGGGCGGCCGUAGAGGGUGAUAGACCCGUAGGCGAAAAGUGAGCAGCUCUCUGAUGUGUUCUUGAGUACCACGGGGCACGGGAAACCCUGUGGGAAUUUGGGGGGACCAUCCUCCAAGGCUAAACACUCUUGGACACCGAUAGUGAACAAGUACCGUGAGGGAAAGGUGAAAAGCACCCCGGUGAGGGGAGUGAAAUAGUAUAUGAAACCGCAAGCCUACAAGCAGUGGGAGCACUAUACUGUUGCUUCGGCAACGGCAUGUGUGACCGCGUACCUUUUGCAUAAUGAGCCGCCGAGUUACUUUAUCUAGCAAGGUUAAGCCGUUAGGUGGAGCCGUAGCGAAAGCGAGUCUGAAUAGGGCGAUCACCGAUUUAAGAGGAAAUCGUCUUUGAAACUUUUAGUGAACGUUGGAAUAUUGAUUUCUGAUUAGAUCUUCGGAUUUAUGAAGAAUGAAAUAUGAAGGUAAUUAGCGUCGAGUGAAUGAGACGAUGAAAUCUUUGUGUCGAGGGUUGCGCGGAUUAGACCUGAAACCGUGUGAGCUACCCAUGGCCAGGAUGAAGCCCGGAUAAUAUCCGGGUGAAGGUCCGAACCCGUUUACGUUGCAAAGUGAUGGGAUGAGCUGUGGGUAGGGGUGAAAUGCUAAACGAACACGGAGAUAGCUGGUUUUCUCCGAAAUGCAUUUAGGUGCAGCCUCGGAUAAUUACCUCGCGGAGGUAGAGCUCUGGAUGGACUAGGGGGCGUGAGCUUACCAAACCCAACCAAACUCCAAAUGCCGUAGAGGUUUAAUCCGGGAGUGAGACAGUGACGGAUAAGCGCCAUUGUCAAAAGGGAAACAGCCCAGAUCGCCAGCUAAGGCCCCUAAAUACGGACUAAGUGUGAAACGUAGUUGGAAUGCUCAGACAGCCAGGAGGUUGGCUUAGAAGCAGCCACCCUUUAAAGAGUGCGUAACAGCUCACUGGUCGAGGGUUCCUGCGCGGAAAAUAAACGGGGCUCAAGUCCGUUGCCGAAGCUGCGGGAUUCCAGAGUAAUUCUGGGAUCGGUAGGAGAACGUUCUCAGGGGAUUGAAGGUAGAUUGGAAGGUCUGCUGGACCGCUGAGAAGUGCGAAUGCCGGCAUGAGUAGCGACAAUCCUGGUAAGAAUCCAGGACACCGGAAGUCCAAGGUUUCCUACGCAACGCUGAUCGACGUAGGGUUAGUCGGUCCUAAGGCGAAGCCGAAAGGCGAUGUCGAUGGACAGCAGGUCAAAAUUCCUGCACCACUUAACUUCCGUUUUAAAGUCUCGGGGGGACGCGGAGAGCUAGACGAAGCAUGCCUAUUGGACAUGGUGUGUGUAUUCCUGCAGGCGAGCUGUGGCGUCAAAAAUGCCGUGGUGUUUGAGCUGAGAGGAAUGCGAACCCUUAGGAACUCCUUCGGGAACUUCGUUGAUGCUGAACCGCCUAGAAAAGCCCCGAGUACAAGGAAACGAGUGACCGUACCGCAAACCGACACAGGUGGACAGGGGUAAAUGCCCCCAGGUGACCGGGAGAACCAUCGUUAAGGAACUCGGCAAUCUAACCCCGUAACUUCGGGAUAAGGGGUGCCGCUGACGUAUUAGGAUUUACUCCGAAAAGCAUUGGCGGCCGCAGAGAAUAGGCCCAAGCGACUGUUUAUCAAAAACAUAGGUCCGUGCCAAAGCGCAAGCUGAUGUAUAGGGGCUGACGCCUGCCCAGUGCCGGAAGGUUAAGGGGAGGAGUGAGAGCUCCGAACCGAAGCCCCGGUGAACGGCGGCCGUAACUAUAACGGUCCUAAGGUAGCGAAAUCCCUUGUCGGGUAAGUUCCGACCUGCACGAAAGGCGUAACGACUUGGGCGCUGUCUCAACGGUGGACUCGGUGAAAUUGCAGGACCCGUAAAGAUGCGGGUUACGCGCAGCAGGACAAAAAGACCCCGUGGAGCUUUACUGUAGCUUGACAUUGGUUCGAGCUUUAAACUGUGUAGGAUAGGCGGGAGACUGUGAAGUGGAUGCGCCAGCAUUCACGGAGUCGCCCUUGAAAUACCGCCCUGCCUAUAGUUUGAGUCUAACUUGAAAAAGGACAGUGUCUGGUAGGCAGUUUGACUGGGGCGGUCGCCUCCUAAAGAGUAACGGAGGCGCACAAAGGUCACCUCAAGCUGGAUGGAAAUCAGCUUUAAGAGUGUAUUGGCAUAAGGUGGCUUGACUGCGAGACCAACAAGUCGAGCAGGUACGAAAGUCGGUCAAAGUGAUCCCACGGUACCGUGUGGAAGGGCCGUGGCUUAACGGAUAAAAGCUACCCCGGGGAUAACAGGUNNNNNNNNNNNNNNNNNNNNNNNNNNNNNNNNNNNNNNNNNNNNNNNNNNNNNNNNNNNNNNNNNNNNNNNNNNNNNNNNNNNNNNNNNNNNNNNNNNGCACCUCGAUGUCGGCUCGUCGCAUCCUGGGGCUGAAGAAGGUCCCAAGGGUUGGGCUGUUCGCCCAUUAAAGCGGCACGCGAGCUGGGUUCAGAGCGUCGUGAGACAGCUCGGUCUCUAUCCGCCGUGGGCGCAGGACAAUUGAGGGGCGCCGCUCCUAGUACGAGAGGACCGGAGUGGACAGACCUCUAGUGUGCCGGUUGUAUCGCCAGAUGCAUCGCCGGGUAGCCAUGUCUGGACGGGAUAAGCGCUGAAAGCAUAUAAGUGCGAAGCCCUCCCCAAGAUUAAUUGUCCCGCCCUUCUUAGGAAGGGGUAAGAUCCCACGUAGACUACGUGGUAGAUAGGCCACAGGUGUAAGGGCAGCAAUGUCCUCAGCUGAGUGGUACUAAUGGAUCGAGGGCUUGACCCA
rnacentral:rRNA from 1 species